AAUAUGUCUGUCCUAAAUCAUUCGCAUUAUACAUUGUUCAUAUAUCAAUGAGCGUAUCAAUAAAGACGUUAGCUAUGUGGUUAUUGCUUCCUUCACUUUCAUUAUUGUUUUUUCUGCGCCUCAUUGCAUUCCGGAGGCACUUUCACUAUUGUUUCUUGUUAUGUCCCAUUGCAUUCCAUAAUUAAAAAGUUUUAGCCUUGCUAUGUCUAUGUCUGAAAUGUUAGAUUGGCUGAGUUCUCAUUUGAUUUUGGGCUUACUCUAGCUUGUUCGGCCUAGUCCGAAACAGGGAUUUGAAUCCUGCACUUCUGUAUCUACAUCCUACACCCCCACCCCAAGCAUCCUUGAAAUUACUUAACUAUCCUUGAUGAGAUAACACCUCUUUCCCCAAAUCUUAACACCUCCCUCCUUCUGAACUCAUUCUACCUUAACAUUGAAUUCCACAAGAGUCCUACUCCCACAAGCUUCCUCGCCUUCUCUCCAUCAUACUAAGCAAUUCUCUUUCAUGAGGGAGCAGCCUUAAUAUUUGUCAACGCCGCAACUGCACACCUCUGGUGGCUCCACAUGAAAUUUUUCAUACUCAAGAUGAGUCAUUGAAAUAAGCUCGAACAAUUGCAUUUGAGUUGAAUUUUGUUUCGAAAUACAUGUUCCAGAACACCUAUUCCAAAUCUAAAGACCUUCCUUACUAGAACGCAACCCGCCACCAAAACCAAAACCCAACCCCUCACUAGAAACCAAAAGAAACAAAAGGAACUUACCUUGAAUGGCUACAUGCAAAGGAAGGAGGGUGCACGAAGAGUCGCAACAAGGAGGGUGCACGAAGAGUCGCAACAAGGAGGGUGCAAGCAAAACAAGGUGACACAGGAGAAGGAAGAGAUUCAUCGUGGGAAGAACAACAACCUUCACGGGAGGGAGACGCACCGUCACGUGAGCUACCGUCAUGGGUAGGAGGGGCAUCACGGGGAAAGGGUGUUAGUGUAUAUGAUUUAUGAAGAAAGGAGGAGUUAGGGUUGGAAAUGUGUUAUCUCAUUAAGGAUAAUUUAGUAAUUUUAAGAUGUUUGGGGGUGUAAGAUACAAAUAUGGAAAUGUAGGAUUCAAAUCCCUCUAGAACAAUAUCCAUCCCAAAAGAAAUCUAUUAGAUUUUUCUAGUCU